rnacentral:tRNA from 1 species
GCGACCGUGGUCUAACGGAUAAGAUUACAGAUUCCGAUUCUGUUGAUAGGGGUUCGAUUCCCUUCGGUCGCAC